UUCCCAUUCUGUUGCCCGGCUGAAGUGAAGUGGUGCUAUUUCGGCUCACUGCAACCUCCAUCUCCCAGGUUCAAGUGAUUCCCCUGCCUCAACCUCCCGAGUAGCU